rnacentral:rRNA from 2 species
GUGGGGAAUAUUGCACAAUGGGCGAAAGCCUGAUGCAGCGACGCCGCGUGGGGGAUGACGGCCUUCGGGUUGUAAACCCCUUUCAGUAGGGAAGAAGCGAGAGUGACGGUACCUGCAGAAGAAGCGCCGGCUAACUACGUGCCAGCAGCCGCGGUAAUACGUAGGGCGCAAGCGUUGUCCGGAAUUAUUGGGCGUAAAGAGCUUGUAGGUGGCUUGUCGCGUCUGCCGUGAAAACCCGAGGCUCAACCUCGGGCGUGCGGUGGGUACGGGCAGGCUAGAGUGUGGUAGGGGAGACUGGAACUCCUGGUGUAGCGGUGAAAUGCGCAGAUAUCAGGAAGAACACCGAUGGCGAAGGCAGGUCUCUGGGCCAUUACUGACACUGAGAAGCGAAAGCAUGGGUAGCGAACAGGAUUAGAAACCCUAGUAGUCC